GGGGGUGUAGCUCAGUUGGUUAGAGCGCCUGCCUGUCACGCAGGAGUCGCGAGUUCGAGUCUCGUCACUCCCU
rnacentral:tRNA from 1 species